rnacentral:rRNA from 1 species
UACGGAGGGUGCGAGCGUUGUCCGGAAUCACUGGGCGUAAAGGGCGCGUAGGCGGCUUCUUAAGCGUGUGGUGAAAGCUCAGGGCUCAACUCUGAGUCGGCCAUGCGAACUGGGAGGCUUGAGCACUGUAGAGGCAGGUGGAAUUCCGGGUGUAGCGGUGGAAUGCGUAGAGAUCCGGAAGAACACCGGUGGCGAAGGCGGCCUGCUGGGCAGUAGCUGACGCUGAGGCG